CAAGUAACCUUCAAAGAUUGAAAAGAAAGCAUGAUUCCAGCUCUUCAUGUGUACUAGAGGUAGUUCAAAAUACUGGGGCAAGUGUGAAGAAGCAAGUACUGGAGGCUACAAGUUGCCCUAAAGGUAGCAAAGAAGGAGGGCAGCAAUCUCAUCAGGAGCAAGGAGAUCACAGUGCCAGCCCAACCACAGGCCUCCUUUGCAAUUCAGGUUUAAAACAAAGUUCUGGGGAAGAUCACUCUAAGGACUCCCAAGAAGUUAGUAAGGUUAGGAGAUCUGUUGAAAAUAAUAGCUCCUUGGACUCUGCGUAUGAAUCCACUUCUGGGGAUGCAUCUGGUGUUGAUGACAACACUGAGCAUUCAAUAGGAAAAACUGAGGAAGCAGCUAGUAGUCACAUUAAAUAUCUUGAAGAUUAUUUGAAAGAUUCUCAAAUAGA